rnacentral:rRNA from 1 species
GACGAACGCUGGCGGCGUGCUUAACACAUGCGAGUCGAACGGAAAGGCCCUGCUUUUGUGGGGUGCUCGAGUGGCGAACGGGUGAGUAACACGUGAGUAACCUGCCCUUGACUUUGGGAUAACUUCAGGAAACUGGGGCUAAUACCGGAUAGGAGCUCCUGCUGCAUGGUGGGGGUUGGAAAGUUUCGGCGGUUGGGGAUGGACUCGCGGCUUAUCAGCUUGUUGGUGGGGUAGUGGCUUACCAAGGCUUUGACGGGUAGCCGGCCUGAGAGGGUGACCGGCCACAGUGGGCAUGAGGUACGGGCCAGACUCCUACGGGAGGCAGCAGUGGGGAAUAGUGCCCAAUGGGCGGAAGCCUGAUGCAGCAACGCAGCGUGCGGGGUGACGGCCUUCGGGUUGUAAACCGCUUUCGCCUGUGACGAAGCGUCAGUGACGGUAAUGGGUCAAGAAGCCCCGGCUAACUACGUG